rnacentral:rRNA from 1 species
UACGUAGGGCGCAAGCGUUGUCCGGCCUUAUUGGGCGUAAAGAGCUCGUAGGCGGCUUGUCACGUCGGGUGUGAAAGCCCGGGGCUUAACCCCGGGUCUGCAUUCGAUACGGGCAGGCUAGAGUGUGGUAGGGGAGAUCGGAAUUCCUGGUGUAGCGGUGAAAUGCGCAGAUAUCAGGAGGAACACCGGUGGCGAAGGCGGAUCUCUGGGCCAUUACUGACGCUGAGGAGCGAAAGCGUGGGGAGCGAACAGG